rnacentral:rRNA from 1 species
AUUGAACGCUGGCGGCAGGCCUAACACAUGCAAGUCGAGCGGAUGAAGGGAGCUUGCUCCUGGAUUCAGCGGCGGACGGGUGAGUAAUGCCUAGGAAUCUGCCUGGUAGUGGGGGAUAACGUCCGGAAACGGGCGCUAAUACCGCAUACGUCCUGAGGGAGAAAGUGGGGGAUCUUCGGACCUCACGCUAUCAGAUGAGCCUAGGUCGGAUUAGCUAGUUGGUGGGGUAAAGGCCUACCAAGGCGACGAUCGGUAACUGGUCUGAGAGGAUGAUCAGUCACACUGGAACUGAGACAGGGUCCAGACUCCUACGGGAGGCAGCAGUGGGGAAUAUUGGACAAUGGGCGAAAGCCUGAUCCAGCCAUGCCGCGUGUGUGAAGAAGGUCUUCGGAUUGUAAAGCACUUUAAGUUGGGAGGAAGGGCAGUAAGUUAAUACCUUGCUGUUUUGACGUUACCAACAGAAUAAGCACCGGCUAACUUCGUG